GCCAGUAUGGCAUAGUGGUUUUGAGUGUUGGACUAGGAUUCUGGGAAGCCAGGGUUCAAAUCCUUGCUUGGCCA